UCGGAUUCUCCAGCAUCUGCAGUUCCUACUGUCUCUGAUAAAUUUAUAUAACAUGUUUAACUGCUUCAUGGGAGCAACUUCAGUCAGAAAAAUGACUGUGAGCAAAAGGAGGAGAUAUCAGGAAUGUGACCAAGUAACUGAUCAAAGAAACAGCAUUUAAGGACCAUCUUAAAGGAGGAGAGGUAGGAGGGGAGGAAAUUCCAGAGUUUAGAACCUUGAUAGCAGAAAACAUAGCCUCAAGUAGUGGAGAAUGCACAAAAGCCAGAGGUGAUGAAACAAAGACCUCUCAAUGGUUUGUGGACUUGGAGGAGAGAUGGAAGUGGGAAAGGGAAAGGAUGGAUUUUAAUGUAAGGAUGCAAAUUUCUAAUCCAAAGUUUUGCUGAAUCAGGGCAGUUUGGUCAGGAAACACAGACGUGAUGAGUAAGUGAAACCUGGUACACAUUAGGUUGCAAAAACAAAAUUUUGGAUGAACUUAAUUUUAUAGAGGGUAAAAGAUGGCACGCUGGUCAGCAGAACAUUGGAGUAGUCAAGUCUGGAGGUUAAAAAAAUGGCAUGGAUGAUAAUUUCAGCAACACAUGGGCAUAGAAAAGGCAGAGACAGAUACUGUUAUUGGAAGUAGAAAUUGAUAGUCUUUGUAAUGGCGAGGAUAUAGGGUCAGUAGCUCUGUUUAGGGUCAUGUAGGAAGCUGAGAUUACAAGUAGACUGAUUCAAACUGAGGCAGGAGCCAUAAAUAGGGAUGAAAUUAUGACAAAGAAACAGGGUUCUUUGACAACGGCAAAAAACAAUAGGUACAAUCUUGCCAAAAGGGCAACCGUCAUGUUUAAGCCAAUUUUCUGAACGAAACAUUGAUGUUAGGCUGUGUAAUGUAUUGUAGAUAAUAAUGGGAUUUUUGAGUCAGUUUAUGAAUUUUUUUUGUGUCACAAACUUCCACAAGGAUUUCAGAGGAUGUAAUCGUCUUAUGAAAUGUCAGGUAUUUUUACAACUGGCUUGUCUCGCUUGGCAGGGGCACUAUUUCAAAACUGACAUUCAAAUUAAGAAAAAUGCAGUCUUGCAAAUGUAAUUCCCCUUCUUUACAGCAAACACUAAAAGGUUUCAUCAGUGGGAUUAAGUGGCUCAAGGAUCAUGUGCUAUUUACACUACACCCAUCCACAAAUUGAACCACUUCCUUUCGUGCCUAACAUCAAUCAGUGGUUUUAAUUCCUCUAACUCGUUGCAAUUCCCACAAGGAAACCAUACAAGGACAGUUGAAGGUUAGGAAUCCAGGGCUGUAUUUGCUGAUUUUUGAUAACUCUUUUUCCAGGUUUACCUCAAAGAAGGUGCUUUAUCACUUAACUGUUGAGAAACCAAUAAUCUACGAUGGAAGCGAUGUUUCUGAACUCUGAAACGUGUUCGCAUGUAAUUUUGAACUAUUCAAGAAUAGCCAGGACUACUUGGGGAAUUACUUUCCAAGGUUUGAAAGCUAUGCAAACAAGCUUUAUAUAGGAGUGUACACAGUAACUUUUCUAUUAUAGUGCUGCAACUCAUAAAUUAUGUAUCUGGGGACAGUCAGGUUGAAGCAGGGUUUGUGUUGUGGGUGAGCGUGGAGCCUCUAUCUUGCAAUAGGAAUGACAGUUGCACUGUAUGUUUUGUUUAUAUAAGGUGCUGAUAUAGUAUUUUACCUUCUGGGGAGCCCACUCUUACUGUAAUCUUCUUGUCAUCACUUAUACCACACUCCAGCUGCAGCUCAUUGCAAAGUUACAAACUGUCACACAAGCAGAAAGCUCCAGUGAUGACAUUAUGGCACGGGGAAAGGUUAAGUUGGCUAAUGUCCUCUCAUUCCCAGUAAUUCAUUGGAGCAUGUGGCCCAUAGCAAUGACUGUGUGGUGAUGACUUACUGAGUAUGUGCAGUUUAAAACAUGGGACAGUGUAGUCAGGAAGUUUAACAAGGAAAACUUAUUUAUAUUAAAUGUCACAGAUAUUUUGACUAGAGAUAAGUAUAUUUUGAAAUGUUUGUAUGCCUGGAGCUGAGGGGGCACGCAUAUAGAUUUUUAAUGUAACAGCUUUGUAGCAAUGCUCAUUUUAAUAGUGCAAUAUCUAAAACAAACUAGGCAAAGUAAUUUGAAUUAUUUUAAAGUUACACUGCACUUCUACUCUGUUUGAAAAUUUACUCGUUAGACAGAGCCAAUUAAUUGAGGAAAUCAACGCACAUUUUUCAGCCAAGACCAACAUUUCUGAUUUGGCUUUUUUUGACUUAUUUCUUUCCAUGGAAACUUACUUUUACUUAAUCAUUUAUACCAGAGUAAUCUUAUUUAGGAUCAGAAACACAAGUUAAAAUGUUCUUUCCUUGGGUUAUUAAUUAGAUCUCCAAAAGUGAGGUUUGUUACCACAGAAUUCACACGAUAAAAAUCCUAUUGCACAGACCAUAUUUAAACUAAAUCAGAAAUAGGAUGAUCUGCAUUGAUCCAGAUUUCUGUAUUUAUUCUCUUGUCUCUAUUGUUCUUUACACCAUCGCUGUGAGCCUAUUCCAAAAAGACUGGGUCAGUAAUGCACUGGUUAUGUGACUGGACUAGUUAUCUCGAGAAGUAUAGUCUAGAAAAUUUGAGUCAAAAAUCCAUCCUGACAGUUUCAUGGACCUGAAAAAUUUUUACGUGAAAAUAAGAAAAUGUUAGAAGCAGUAAAUGCUGUCCGAUUGUCUUAGAACGCUAAAUGGUUCACUCUAAGGAAGCAGAAGAACCUGCCAUCUGUAUGCAAUCUGGUCUUUACAUAACUUUAGUCCCAAAGUCAACUCUUAACUGCCCAGUCAGUUGUAACAAAGAACAGUGAAAAAUAAACUCCCUUUUAAAGUUUUGGUGUACCUUCACCACGCGAGAUGCAGCAGUGCAUGAAGACAGCCCAUCGCUGCGCUUUCAGGGUCAACUAAGUAGAGAAAAUAAAUAAACAUUUUUUUCAGUGAUGCCCAAGCCCUGGGAAUGAAUAAGAAAAUUACCGCACAAGUGAAAGUAAAACUACAGGUCAUGUAAUUUUAGGACAGUUUAUCUGGUACAGUUACUGUUGUAGUCUUCAUUUGUUAAAGUGUAAAAGGCCUCAAAUAUUCCUCUCUCUUGUUCAUUGCCCCUUUGUUCCUUCCAUUGCCAAUGCCAAAGAGUGCCUGUUCUUACUCUCCCACAGAUCUAUCAGAUUACUAGUUCCAUCCAGUACUUUCUCUGCUGAUCCCACCUCCACUGCUUUCUCAGGCAGAGGGUUUCAAAGUUGCACAACACUUUGAGAAAAAGCAAGUUAUACUCAUCUUGGUCCUAAAAAAGUGAUCCAUUAAUUUUUAAACAGUGUCCCCUGGUUCUGGACUGAUCCACAAGAGGAAAUAUCUUUCCAUGUCCACCUUGAAAAACUGUUCAGGAUCUUAUACACUUCAGCUCACCUCUUACUUUUCUAAACUUCAGUAGAAACAAGCCACCUGGCCCAACAUUUCUUCAUAAGACAACCCACUCCUUACCAAUCCAGUAAACCUCCUCUGAACUGCCCUAAAGUCAUUCUUUAAAUAAGCAAACCAAAACCACACACAGUAUUUGAAAUGUGGUCUCACCAAUGCCUCGUGUUUUUAGGCAGUUAAGUGGCCGUCGUUGAGCAUCCACCAUGAUUUUUCAAAUUAAUUCGGGGAAUGUGUGCAUCAUUGACUAGGUCAGCAUUUAUUGCUAUCCCAAAUUUUGCUGGAGAAGCUCUAGUAAGCUGGCUUGCCUUCCUGCACCGUUGCAGGUAGGCACAUCCAUAGAACGUUAGGCACGGAUCUCUGGGAUUUUGACCCGGUGACAGGGAAGGAUCAGCAAUAUAGUUGCAAAUCACGAUGGUGUUUGUGGCUUGGAGGGGAGCUUGCAACUAUUGAUGUUCCCAUUUGAUUGCUGCCCUUGUUCUUGUAAGUAGUAAAGGUCUCAGAUUUAGAAGGUGAUGACUAAGGAGCCCUGGGUGGGUAGUGCAUUUAAUCUUGUACACACUGCUGCCACUUUUCAGUGGUGGAGCAAGUGAGCAUUGAAAGUAUUAGAGAGAGUUGCCUUCUCCAGGAUGGUGUUGGGCUUCUUGAUUGUUGAUGGAGCUGCAGUUGCCCAGGCAAGUAGAGAGUAUUCCUUGUGGACAGCCUUUAAGGAAUCAGGAGGUAAUUCGUUGUCACAGAAUUCCCAGCCUCUGACAAACUCUUUUAGCCAUAAAAUUUAUAUAGCCAGUUCAGUUCAGUUUUGAUCAAUGGUAACUCCCCCUAUCCCCCAUGCUGUUAAUUGUAGGAGAUUCAUCGAUGAUAAUGCUGUUUAAUGUCAAGGGGUGAUGGUUGGAUUCUCUCUUGAUGGUCAUUGCCUGGCACCUGUCUGGCACAAAUGUUACUUGCCACUUAUCAGUCUAAACCUGAACGUUGUCCAGGUCUUGCUGCAUUUAGACACGCAUUGCUUUGGUGUCUGAGGGGUCACAAAUGGUGCAGGAUGUUGUGCAAUCAUCAAUAACCAAACACACUUCUGACUUUAUGACAGAGGGAAGGUCAUUUUAUUCACUUGCUUUUUUAAAUUCAUCCACAGGAUGAGGGCAUCGCAGGCUAGGCCAGCAUAUAUUGCCCACCCCUAAUUGCCCAGAGGGUAGUUAAGAGUUAACCACAUUGCUGUGGGUGUGGAGUCACAAGUAGACCAGUCCAGGUAAGGAUGGCAGUUUCCCUCCCUGAAGGACAUUAGUGAACCAGAUGUUUUUUAUCCAACAUUCGGCAACAGAUUCAUGGUCAUCAUCAGGCUCUGAAUUCCAGACCUUUAUUGAAUUCAAAUUCCACCAUCUGCCAUGGUGGGCCCUAGAACAUUACCUGGGUUUCUGGAUUAAUGGCCCAGCGAUAAUACCACUAAGCCAUCACCGCCAACCCCCCCCCUGGUUGGCCCAGCAUUUAUUGCCCAUCUCUAGUUGCCCUUGAGAAGAUGGUGGUGAGCUGUCUUCUUGAACCGCUGCAGUACAUGUGUUGCUGGUACACCCACAAUGCUAUUAGGGAGGGACUUCCAGCAUUUUGACCCAGGGACACUGAAUGAACAGCGAUAAAUUUCCAAGUCAGGAUGGUGAGUGGCUUGGAGGGGAACUUGCUGUUGGUGGUGUUUCCAUGUACCUGCUGCCCUUGUCCUUCCAGAUGGAAGUGAUGGUGGGUUGGAGGGUGCUGUCGUAGGAUCUUUGGAGAAUUUCUGCAGUGCAGAAGUAUCUGAAGACAGUUAGGUCUAGGAGUCAACCCUCAGGAACUCCUGCAGAAAUGUCCUGGAGCCGAGACAACUGAUCUCAAACAACCACAACAAUCUUCUUUUCUUCUAGAUGUUACUUCAAUCUGAAAAAGGUUGCCCCUUUAAUUCCCAGACACCAGUUUUGCUUGGGCUCCUUGGUGCCACAUUUGGUCAAAUGCUGUCUUAAUGUCAAGGGCAGUCACCUCUUGAGUGUUGGAGCAGGGAGUGAGCCUGAGUAGGCCAAUCAGCCCCACAAGCCUAUUCCACCAUUCAGUAUGAUCAUGACUGAUCACCCAACUCAGCGCCCAGUUCUCACUUCCUCCCUAAACCUUUGACCCCUUUCACCCUAAGAAUAUUAUCUGACUCCCUUUUUGAAAACCUUUCAUGUUUUGGUCUCAACUCCCCACCACCCACUCACUUUCGAUGAGGAAUCUCCCCACUCUCAAUAAGACUUUCUGGGUGCCCUUUCACAGGGGCAUGCUUAAGUUUCCAUUAAAUCAGUGAGGCACCACUGGAAUGGGGCGGCCUCGGGUAUCAUGGGUGUCAAUUGACUGAUGAUAUCCCACAUGUCAGCAUCUUCCAACUUAAUCAGGGAAGUUUGCCACUGAUUGGAUACUGACUCAGCGUCUCUCCCACUGUGACAGUCUGCAUUAAAUCUUUGUCUCUCGAUAAUUAAUCAGUAAACAUUUAACUGCAAGCAAAAGAACAGAGUGUGCAAAAUAAUAUUUACAGACCCAUGCAGGUUCAAACAACAAAACAGGCUUUUCUGUGUUGCAGUGAAACAAAAAGUGUAGAACGUUCUCAGUCUCUUUGCACUCACUAUCUAUAUUGAUUAAAAAAACUCUAAUAUUUGUAUUUUUGUGUGACUUUAAUCACUGCCAAAGAAUUUGUAAUUCAGUUUAUAAAUUAUUUUUUAAGAACUGAAAUGGUUUCACAUUUACUUCUUUAAACUGGGUUUUGAAGUUUCAUGCUUGGCAAUGAAUAAUGUAACAGGCACUUGGUUGUAUUGAAGUUCGAAUUUAGAGUUUUUGCUCAGAUUCUAAAUAAAGAAUGUAUUUUAAAAGUA